rnacentral:rRNA from 1 species
UACGUAGGGUGCAAGCGUUGUCCGGAAUUAUUGGGCGUAAAGGGCGCGUAGGCGGUGCGGUAAGACUGUGGUGAAAUCUUCGGGCUCAACUCGAAGCCUGCCGCAGUGACUGCCGUGCUCGAGUGUGGGAGAGGUGAGUGGAAUUCCCGGUGUAGCGGUGAAAUGCGUAGAUAUCAGGAGGAAUACCUAUGGCGAAAAGCAGGUAUCUGGGCCAUCACUGACGCUGAGCUGCGAAAGCUAGGGGAGCAAACAGG